GACGAACGCUGGCGGCGUGCCUAAUACAUGCAAGUAGGACGCAGUUGCGAACGGGUGAGUAACGCGUAGGUAACUACCUAUUAGAGGGGGAUAACUAUUGGAAACGAUAGCUAAUACCGCAUACUAGUAGAUGGACCUGCGUUGUAUUAGCUAGUAGGUAGGGUAAUGGCCUACCUAGGCAACGAUACAUAGCCGACCUGGGAGGGUGAUCGGACACAAUGGGACUGAGACACGGCCCAGACGCAUACGGGAGGCAUCAGUAGGGAAGCUUGGGCAAUGGGGGGAACCCUGACCGAGCAACGCCGCGGGAGUGAAGAAUGUUGUCGGAUCGUAAAGCUCUGUUGUUAAGGAAGCGGUACUUAACCAGAAAGGGACGGCGAACUACGGGCAAGCAGCCGAGGUAAUUC
rnacentral:rRNA from 1 species